rnacentral:sRNA from 1 species
AAGAGACUGCGUAAACAUCUCUACUAGUCUACUACAUCCAACAGAACGAACACGAUAUGAUAUCCAAAGUAUCUGAAACAGGACAUUUGAUUUAGAGCAAAACAGUUCAGAGCUGCAAAAUUAGGCUAAUCCUCAAUGGUACCAACUGACCAGCAAGCUAAAGCUUCUUAGCAACUCUUGGCUCCUCCACUUUUUUUGGUACCCUAAAACAAUGGAAACUGGCAGAUAAUAAGCAAACAAAGAACUAAUAGCCCCAACCUCUCCUACCUCCUGGAAAUCUUCCUUUCUUGGCUUGCCAUGCUCUUGGCAAGCUUGGCUUCAAACUGGUCGGAAAGAGUUCUCUUCCUAGCUUUCUCAGCUUGCACUUGUGGAUACUCUCCAUAAGGUCCCCUCUUGUUGUUGAGCAUGUUACCCUUGACCUUCAUUUACAUGUCAUGGUAUAAUACAUAGUAUGCUUGUCAAUCUUCUUGGCCUCCCGGCACCUGUGCAGCAGGCGCCUCAGGACGCUUUUUACAUCCUCCUCAUCCACAGAAUCUUGGUGGGAGUCCACCCUCCCUGGAACCCCUAUGAUUG